rnacentral:rRNA from 1 species
UACGUAGGUGGCAAGCGUUAUCCGGAAUUACUGGGCGUAAAGCGUGCGCAGGCGGUUCGCUGUGUCCGAUGUGAAAGCCCCGGGCUUAACCUGGGAAUGGCAUUGGAAACUGGCGGGCUUGAGUGCGGCAGAGGGGGGUGGAAUUCCGCGUGUAGCAGUGAAAUGCGUAGAGAUGCGGAGGAACACCGAUGGCGAAGGCAGCCCCCUGGGUCGACACUGACGCUCAGGCACGAAAGCGUGGGGAGCAAACAGG